GUUCCAGGAGGAGGCACUGUGACCAUAGGAGACGACAGUCCACGUGUGGUAUUGUCCCUGAAGACCUUGGCAAGUGGGACAAGAUGUGGAGAUGGAAGACAGUGAUACUGAGGAUCCUGACCCUGUGCAGGUCUACGCUAAUGUGUGCAUUAGUCUUACUUUUUAAAAAAAAAGUUUAAGAAGUAAAAGAAUAAAAUAAAAAAAUUUAAAAAGCUUAUAGAAUAAGGAUACAAAGAAAAGUUUUGUACAGCUGUACAAUGUGUUUGCAUUUUAAGCUGUCUUAUCACAAAAGAGUCAAAAAGUUAAAAAAAUUAAAGUAUAUAAAAUAAAAAAGGUACAGUAAGCUAAGGUUAGUUUAUUAUUAAAGAAAGAAAAAUCUUUUUUUAUAAAUUUAGUGUAGCCUAAGUGUACAGUUUAUAACGUCUGCGGCAGUUUCACACAACAAGGAAAUCGCCUGAUGACGCAGCUUUCUGAGAAUAUAUCCCCAUUGUUGAGCACAGGUGACUGAAUUUCUUAUCAUAACUCAUAAUAUCACAGAUUCUAAUCUUCGAGCUCAGCCACCAGAACACCCACUGUCUAGAGGAUGACACUGACUUGUCACAGGGCUAGGGAGUGGCAGAGUCAGGAUCAGAAUCAGGAUCUUACCGGGCAGUCGCUCAAGUCAGGGCUUGUGGCCAGUUGCUACUCUGCCCUCCACUAGUCCACAAGGACGUGACUGGUCAUCUCUGUAGACACAGGGACCAGCAAAGGGCCAGACACUUAACCCUAGUCUUUGCUGAGCCAAAGAAUGAAAAUGAGUACCCACAAACCUCCAGUAUAUAGACUGUUUUUAUAACUGCAUGAGAUAUGAGUGAAACCAAUAGAAAAUUAUCAACAUGUCCUCAGGAGUCACAAUAAAAUGAAUGGCAACAAGUGCUUGAAUCAGCGUGACCAACUACAACCUUCGUAUCGUGAUAACUGGAGAUCCAAUUAAAAAUGUGAGAACUUAGUACAAGUCUGGUGCGGACACGUUUUCGUCCCUGUUGGGUAAGUACCUAGGAGUGGGAGUACUGGGUUGAAGGGUAAGUGUAUGGCAACUUUAGAAGAAACCACCAAAAUGCUUCCAAAUUGGUUGUACCAUUUUGCCCUCUUGUCUGCAACGGAUGAGAAUUUCAGCAGCUCUGCAACCUUGGUGCUUGCCGAUGUCAGCCUUCUUUGGCCACUCGAGUGGACGGACAAUGGUGUGGCCGUGUCUCACUGUGGCUUUGUGUUUCCCUCAUGAAGAUGAUGGUCGAGCAUCCUUCUUGUACUUAUUUGCCAUCUGUGUAUCUCCUUCUGGGAAGCUUCUGUUGUUUGCAGUUUUAUUACACGGUUGAAUGAGUUCUUUACCUGUUCUGGAUAGAAGUCCUUUAUCAGAUAUGUGUUUUCAUAACCUCUCAGUCUGGGGCUUGCCUUUCGUUUUCUUAAUGGAGUCUCCCAGAAAAUUAAUUUUCUUCAGGUUUGAGGUGCAAUUUACACAGCACCCUCUUUAGGUGUAGAGGUCUCUGAAUUCUACCACCCAAUCAAGACAUGGAAUAUCGCCAUCUCUGUCCCCACAUUCCCCCACGCUCUCUUCUCCUCUGGCAGGUCUGGUUCUGCAGCUCUUUAGCAAGCUCUGGGUGCUUUUAUGUUGCGAAUUCUCUUUACCGUGUGGGAUGCGAAACGCAUCUGGGUCAUCUUUGCACCGUGACUCAUAAAUUCCAGGGUAACAGGAAAAGGCCCAUUAAACAUCCCGUUACACACAGCUCUAAUAAAACCGGUAAUAAUAACACCAAAACGCUCAUCUAGCGCUUGCCAGGGACCACUCUCAUUCUCCACUUACGCUAACUCAUGUGACCUCACGUGCAGCCCGCCCCGGGAGGCACGAUCACGAUCACUGCCCGCCUUCCGGCUGCGGCACUGAGGCCCAGAAGAGGUGGACCGCCUCCGCCCUCGGGGCCGCCUGCCGCGGAGGACAGGCCGGGGAGACGCGGCCCGCAGAGCCGUGCGCUCGGCCGCCACUCAAGACGAACAGGGUCCGCCCGUGGCCGGGAGGGAGGCGCGGGCCCACGACCCGGAGCCCCGGCGCCCGCUCACCCCCGGCCGGUCCGGGGCACCCAGCGUGGGCGCUCGGGAGGCCGGCGCGCAGGCCGGCAGAGGGAGCCGGGCCCACGCGCCCCACCCGGGCCGCGCCGCCGCCCCAGGGACCGAGGCGCGUGCCAGGGCGGGCUGCGCAUGCGCGUGCGCACGGCGGGCGCGGCGCGGCGUGUGCACGCGAGCCGGGGGCGGGCGGCGGCCGGGGGCGCAUGCGCACCGGGGCGCCGAGGCUGGAGGCGUGCCCGGCUCAGGAGAGCGGUGCGGUCGGCCCAGUCUGCUUCUCGCUGGCGGGCGCCAGAGGAGCUGGCUCUCGGAGUUUAAUGGUGUGGAUGCAAACUACCAGGAGUCUCAUGGGAGGAACCCAGGCCCAUGGGGCUUUGCCAGGAGCCUGCCUUCUCUCAAUAUCCACACCCUCAUGAGCUCGGUGUGACCAUCCCGUUUUUACUGAUGGUGGGAUUGAGUGAGGCGGAGCGAGGUUAGAGCGACUCGCGGCCCUGGGAAGGCCGAAGCCCCCUGACCGAGUGUGUCGCUUGCUGGUCCUGGCCUUGGAGACUCAGGCGUGCUGGGUUCCAUGCGGUGGCCUGCUCAGUGCAUCCGGCCCGGAGAGUUGGCUGGAAGCAGCGUGUGAUCUGGUUUGGUCGGGAAGGGUGUGACAGCGUGCUGGAAGAGAUUCGGCUCCCAGCCAAAUAACUUUACCACCUGAAGUCCUGGGCGGCUGUGUCGAGGGCCCUGCUGAGGCUGCCUGAGGACCCGAGCGCGUGGCCCACAGAGCCCCGCACGGUGCUCGCUGCGGACAGCGUGCUGCCCGGUCGUUGUGUGUGCGCCUCUGGGUACAUGCACAGUGUUCCCCCUGUAUGUGCAUUUAUGUGCGUAAAAGUAUAGCUACGUGCUGAAGUUUUUAUGAGUAAAAGGAGAAAAAAGGGGCCGGCCUGGUGGCGCAGCAGUGAAGUUCGCAUGUGCCACCUGGGUGCGGACAUGACACCGCUCGGCAAGCCAUGCUGUGGCAGGCGUCCCACAUAUAAAGUAGAGGAAGAUGGGCAUGGAUGUUAGGGCAUCUUCCUCAGCAAAAAGAGGAGGAUUGGCAGCAGAUGUUAGCUCAGGGCUAAUCUUCCUCAAAAAACAAAAAAAGAAGAAGAAAAAGGGUAUGAGGGGGUGGGUAGAAAAGAUGGCAGCACGCUGGUGGUAAUUGAAGCUGGAUGAUGGCCACAUGGGAGUUCCGUCUACUCUUCUCUCUGCUUCUGUGUACAUUUGAAAAUUCUAAAAUAAAAAGGUCUAAAGAUAUGUAGAGUAUUUAAACAUUUGUUUAAGCCUUUGAUCCGCUCUCUACCCUCUGCGCCCAGCCUUGCCCAGACGCUGUGCUGGGCGUCUGGACGCUGUGACUAUUCUCUGCUUUCACGGCGCUCAGAGCUGGGGGGCAGACGUUAAUCUAACAUCACAGAAAUACUGGAUUUCAAACAGAGAGGAAUUCUUUGAAGCACGGUGACAGGGUAUUAUGGAAACCUUGAACAGCGGAAGCUGUUAGGGGGAGGGUCAGAAUAAGCACGGAAGGAUUAAGGACCGAGCUGAAGUCUAAAGCAUGACUAGGAAUUAACUGGGCACUGUGGGGCAGAGGGAGAAGGAGAAGAGAGUUCCAGAAGAUGGGGCUCUCCUGUGCAGCACCCAGGACCUGAGGCGGGUCAGGAUGCUGGAGCCCAGGGGGUGGGGAGGGUGGCUGGGAGGCGGCCAGGCGCGUUGCCAGGCCUUGUUAAGGAAUUGCCCCUGAUCCUGGGAGCCGUGGACAGUCAGUGAAGAGUUGAAGCAGGAAGUAACUACAAAUCAACUUCCUCUUCUCAGGCUGCCAUUUUGGCUGCAACAUGGAGGGCGAAUGCGGGGGUAGGAGUUGACGAGCAGGUGGGAGACUGAGGCUCUCUGUGGGGCAGGGGGAGGUGGGAGCAAAGAUGUGUCUGAGAGAGAUUUAAGAUUUGGUGACAGUGUGGAUACAGUCAGGGAGAGGGGGGUCAUUGUGGAGGUGGUGGCCUAUCCUGUGCUGAGAUGGGACACCAGAGGGAGGGAUCAGUGUGGAGGACAAGUCCUGCUUUCAUUUGGUGGAGUUGGAGGGCGGUGUUGCCAUGGAGACUGGUUGUAAAGACUUGGAGCUCAGAGCAGGGAUCUGGAUGGAGAAAGGAGCUGGAGAACUCCUCCCCCACAGCAAUGGUAGAAAGGAUCUGAGGGACUCCUCCCCCACAGCAAUGGUAGAAAGGAUCUGAGGGACUCCUCCCCCGAUGGGCCAUAAGGGAUCUGAGGGACUCCUCCCCCGAGGGUGAUGGUCAUAAGGGAUCUGAGGGUUUCUUCCCACAUGGGCGAUGGUGGGGGAGAGUCACAAACCAGCAGGAAACCGGAACAGCAUUCUGUUGGCUGUCUCCAGCAUAGGCUCUAGCCCAGGCUGGAUUUUUUCCUUUUGAAAUUAAAGUUAUGCUUAAGCAUGGUUGUCAUAAAAAUGUUAAAACAUAGGGGCCUGCCUGGUGGCGUAGUGGUGAAGUUUGUGCACCCUGCUUUGGCGGCCUGAGCGUUGCUGGUUCAGAUCCUGGGCCUGGACCUAUGCACUGCUUGUCAAGCCAUGCUGUGGCAGGCAUCCUACCUAUAAAGUAG
ensembl:lncRNA